GGAUAACAUUUGGAAACAGAUGCUAAUACCGCGUAACAACUAAUCACACAUGUGAUCUGUUUCAAAGUUCCUUUUGUAGCGCUAGGGGAUGGUCUUGCGACGUAUUAGUUUGUUGGUCGGGUAGAAGCCUACCAASGCAAUGAUGCGUAGCCGAGUUGAGAGACUGGCCGGCCACAUUGGGACUGAGACACUGCCCAAACUCCUACGGGAGGCUGCAGUAGGGAAUUUUCCGCAAUGCACGAAAGUGUGACGGAGCGACGCCGCGUGUGUGAUGAAGGCUUUCGGGUCGUAAAGCACUGUUGUAAGGGAAGAAUAACUGAAUUCAGAGAAAGUUUUCAGCUUGACGGUACCUUACCAGAAAGGGAUGGCUAAAUACGUGCCAGCAGCCGCGGUAAUACGUAUGUCCCGAGCGUUAUCCGGAUUUAUUGGGCGUAAAGCGAGCGCAGACGGUUUAUUAAGUCUGAUGUGAAAUCCCGAGGCCCAACCUCGGAACUGCAUUGGAAACUGAUUUACUUGAGUGCGAUAGAGGCAAGUGGAACUCCAUGUGUAGCGGUGAAA
rnacentral:rRNA from 1 species